rnacentral:rRNA from 1 species
AAUGAACGCUGGCGGCAGGCCUAACACAUGCAAGUCGAACGGAUCCUUCGGGAUUAGUGGCGGACGGGUGAGUAACGCGUGGGAACAUACCCUUUGGUACGGAAUAGCCUCGGGAAACUGGGAGUAAUACCGUAUGUGGUCGAGAGACGAAAGAUUUAUCGCCAAAGGAUUGGCCCGCGUUGGAUUAGGUAGUUGGUGGGGUAAUGGCCUGCCAAGCCGACGAUCCAUAGCUGGUUUGAGAGGAUGAUCGGCCACACUGGGACUGAGACACGGCCCAGACUCCUACGGGAGGCAGCAGUGGGGAAUCUUAGACAAUGGGGGAAACCCUGAUCUAGCCAUGCCGCGUGAUCGAUGAAGGCCUUAGGGUUGUAAAGAUCUUUCAGGUGGGAAGAUAAUGACUGUACCACCAGAAGAAGCCCCGGCUAACUCCGUGCCAGCCGCCGCGGUAAUAC